GGACAGCCAUCGCCGAGUCCCCGCGACACACGUCAAUGGGGAGCCGGGGACCCACACGUCCCUGGGGUGAAUCGGAGCCCUCUCACGAGGGAUCCGUAGGAGACCUUCCUGCUCCGAACCCGUCAGCUAACCCGGUAGGCGAGAAGGAAGGAAAGG
rnacentral:sRNA from 2 species